rnacentral:rRNA from 1 species
CCUACGGGACGCAGCAGUGGGGAAUAUUGCACAAUGGGGGAAACCCUGAUGCAGCGACGCCGCGUGAGUGACGAAGUAUUUCGGUAUGUAAAGCUCUAUCAGCAGGGAAGAAAAUGACGGUACCUGAUUAAGAAGCCCCGGCUAACUACGUGCCAGCAGCCGCGGUAAUACGUAGGGGGCAAGCGUUAUCCGGAUUUACUUGGUGUAAAGGGAGCGUAGACGGCAGCACAAGUCUGGAGUGAAAUGCCGGGGCUUAACCCCGGAACUGCUUUGGAAACUGUGCAGCUAGAGGGCAGGAGAGGUAAGUGGAAUUCCUAGUGUAGCGGUGAAAUGCGUAGAUAUUAGGAGGAACACCAGUGGCGAAGGCGGCUUACUGGACUGUAACUGACGUUGAGGCUCGAAAGCGUGGGGAGCAAACAGGAUUAGAUACCCGAGUAGUC